UGGGGAAUUUUGGACAAUGGGCGAAAGCCUGAUCCAGCAAUGCCGCGUGUGUGAAGAAGGCCUUCGGGUUGUAAAGCACUUUUGUCCGGAAAGAAAUCCUUGGCUCUAAUACAGUCGGGGGAUGACGGUACCGGAAGAAUAAGCACCGGCUAACUACGUGCCAGCAGCCGCGGUAAUACGUAGGGUGCAAGCGUUAAUCGGAAUUACUGGGCGUAAAGCGUGCGCAGGCGGUUUGCUAAGACCGAUGUGAAAUCCCCGGGCUCAACCUGGGAACUGCAUUGGUGACUGGCAGGCUAGAGUAUGGCAGAGGGGGGUAGAAUUCCACGUGUAGCAGUGAAAUGCGUAGAGAUGUGGAGGAAUACCGAUGGCGAAGGCAGCCCCCUGGGCCAAUACUGACGCUCAUGCACGAAAGCGUGGGGAGCAAACAGGAUUAGAUACCCCUGGUAGUCCACGCCCUAAACGAUGUCAACUAGUUGUUGGGGAUUCAUUUCCUUAGUAACGUAGCUAACGCGUGAAGUUGACCGCCUGGGGAGUACGGUCGCAAGAUUAAAACUCAAAGGAAUUGAC
rnacentral:rRNA from 1 species